GAUGCCGCUUUUCCAGCGGCGUGAAAUCUAGCAGAGGGCCAGUCUGGUGCCAGCAGCUGCGGUAAUUCCAGCUCUGCAAGUUUGCUCCCAUAUUGUUGCAGUUAAAACGCCCGUAGUCUGAAUUUGCUCGAAAGAGUAGGAAUCCCGUUUGGGAGUUCACUGUGAACAAAUCAGGACGCUUAGUGUAUUUCUUUGAAUGAAUGACUUAGCGCAGUAUGAAAUAUUUACCGCAAGGUAAGCUCAAAGAGAACCAUCGGGGGUAGAUCUAUUCCAUGGCGAGCGGUGGAAUGCUUUGACCCAUGUGGGGAGAAACAGAAGCGAAGGCGUCUACCUAGAGGGUUUCUGUCGAUCAAGGGCGAGAGUAGGAGUAUCCAACCGGAUCAGAGACCCGGGUAGUUCCUACUAUAAACGAUGCCGACAGGGGCUUGUCUUUUUUAAAAGGCAGGACCUUAGGAGAAAUCAUAGUUCUCGGGCUCUGGGGGAACUACGACCACAAGGCUGAAACUUGAAGGAAUUGACGGAAGGGCACACCAGGGGUGGAGCCUGUGGCUUAAUUUGAAUCAACACGGGAAAACUUACCAGAACCAGAUGUUUUUUAUGACCGACAGGCUAGGGGUCUUUCGGGAUAUGAUUUUUGGUGGUGCAUGGCCGUUGGUGGUGCGUGGGUUGACCUGUCUAGCGUUGAUUCAGCUAACGAGCGAGAUUAUCGCCAAUUACUUAGACUAGCCUGCUUUCAGGUCUAGCCUUCUAAUUGGGACUCCCUGCGAUUAAGCAGGAAGAAGAGGGUAGCAAUAACAGGUCCGUGAUGUCCUUUAGAUGCUCUGGGCUGCACGCGUGCUACAAUGUUAGUCUCAAAGGGGUUUGCUCGCCUGAUAGGGUUUUAGCUACUCCCGGAAUGUCUAACGUAGUUGGGAUUGACGAUUGUAAUCAUCGUCAUGAACCAGGAAUCCCUUGUAAAUGUGUGUCAACAACGCACGUUGAAUACGUCCCUG
rnacentral:rRNA from 1 species